rnacentral:rRNA from 1 species
AGAGUUUGAUCCUGGCUCAGGAUUAACGCUGGCGGCAUGCCUAAUACAUGCAAGUCGAACGAGGGUAGCAAUACCCUAGUGGCGAACGGGUGAGUAACACGUGGGAAAUCUGCCUUUAAGUCGAGGAUAACUGCUGGAAACGGCAGCUAAAACUGGAUAGGUUAUAUAUGGGCAUCCAGAUAUAAUUAAAAGUCCUUUACGGGAAUGCUUAAAGAUGAUCCUGCGUCGCAUUAGCUAGUUGGUGAGGUAAAGGCUCACCAAGGCGACGAUGCGUAGCUGUGCUGAGAGGCAAAACAGCCACACUGGGACUGAGACACGGCCCAGACUCCUACGGGAGGCAGCAGUAGGGAAUUUUCGGCAAUGGGGGAAACCCUGACCGAGCAAUGCCGCGUGAAUGAAGAAGGUCUUCGGACUGUAAAAUUCUGUUAUUUGUGGAAGAAAGGUAGUUGGAGGAAAUGCCAAUUACUUGACGGUACCAAAUGAGAAAGCCCCGGCUAACUAUGUGCCAGCAGCCGCGGUAAUACGUAGGGGGCGAGCGUUAUCCGGAAUUAUUGGGCGUAAAGCGUGCGUAGGUGGUCAGUUAAGUCUGGCGUGAAAUUCCCUGGCUUAACCAGGGGGGGUCGUUGGAAACUGGCUGACUUGAAUCCAGAAGGGGUAAGUGGAAUUCCAUGUGUAGCGGUAAAAUGCAUAGAGAUAUGGAGGAACACCAGUGGCGAAGGCGGCUUACUGGUCUGGAAUUGACACUGAGGCACGAAAGCGUGGGUAGCAAACAGGAUUAGAUACCCUGGUAGUCCACGCCGUAAACGAUGAGUGCUAGGUGUUAGGCCCUUUCCGGGGCUUAGUGCCGCAGCUAACGCAUUAAGCACUCCGCCUGGGGAGUACGACCGCAAGGUUGAAACUCAAAGGAAUUGACGGGGGCCCGCACAAGCGGAGGAACAUGUGGUUUAAUUCGAUGAUACGCGAGGAACCUUACCCGGGCUCGAACGGCAGAUGUCGUAUACAGAGACGUAUAUUCUCUUCGGAGCGUCUGUCGAGGUGCUGCAUGGUUGUCGUCAGCUCGUGCCGUGAGGUGUCGGCUUAAGUGCCAUAACGAGCGCAACCCUUGUCGAUAGUUGCCAUCGGGUUAUGCCGGGGACUCUAUCGAGACU